rnacentral:rRNA from 1 species
GGGUGCGAUCAUACCAACACUAAUGCAUCGGAUCCCAUCAGAACUCUGAAAUUAAGCGUGCUUGGGUGAGAGUAGUACUAGGAUGGGUGACCUCCUGGGAAGUCCUCGUGUUGMACCCC